AUGAACGCUGGCGGCGUGCCUCAUCCAUGCAAGUCGAGCGAACAGACGAGGAGCUUGCUCCUCUGACGUUAGCGGCGGACGGGUGAGUAACACGUGGAUAACCUACCUAUAAGACUGGGAUAACUUCGGGAAACCGGAGCUAAUACCGGAUAAUAUAUUGAACCGCAUGGUUCAAUAGUGAAAGACGGUUUUGCUGUCACUUAUAGAUGGAUCCGCGCCGCAUUAGCUAGUUGGUAAGGUAACGGCUUACCAAGGCAACGAUGCGUAGCCGACCUGAGAGGGUGACGGGCCACACUGGAACUGAGACACGGCCCAGACUCCUACGGGGGGCAGAAGUAGGGAAUCUUCGAGAAGGGGCGAAAGCCUGACGGAGCAGCGCCGGGUGGGUGAUGAAGUUCUUCGGAUCGUAAACCUUUUUUAUGGGGAAAGAAAAAAUGUAUAAGAAAAUAUCCCUGUCUUGACGGUACCUAAUCAAAAAGCAACGGCUAACUACGUG
rnacentral:rRNA from 1 species